CUACGUGCCAGCAGCCGCGGUAAUACGUAGGUGGCAAGCGUUGUCCGGAAUUAUUGGGCGUAAAGCGCGCGCAGGCGGAUCAGUCAGUCUGUCUUAAAAGUUCGGGGCUUAACCCCGUGAUGGGAUGGAAACUGCUGAUCUAGAGUAUCGGGGAGGAAAGUGGAAUUCCUAGUGUAGCGGUGAAAUGCGUAGAUAUUAGGAAGAACACCAGUGGCGAAGGCGACUUUCUGGACGAAAACUGACGCUGAGGCGCGAAAGCCAGGGGAGCGAACGGGAUUAGAUACCCCGGUAGUCCUGGCCGUAAACGAUGGGUACUAGGUGUAGGAGGUAUCGACCCCUUCUGUGCCGGAGUUAACGCAAUAAGUACCCCGCCUGGGGAGUACGACCGCAAGGUUGAAACUCAAAGGAAUUGACGGGGGCCCGCACAAGCGGUGGAGUAUGUGGUUUAAUUCGACGCAACGCGAAGAACCUUACCAGGUCUUGACAU
rnacentral:rRNA from 1 species